UUCUUAUCUAGAGAGGCGGAGGGACUGGCCCUGCGAAGCCUCGGCAACAGACUUUUAGGAGUACUGUGCCAAUUCCAGUAGCGAAUGCUUGAAGAUAAGAA
rnacentral:ncRNA from 2 species